rnacentral:misc_RNA from 1 species
GUCGAAGUAUAUACCAUACAAAUAUAAUCAGGCUCUAAUAACAAGAUAGGCCGGGAGCCCUUACCAUACGUAUAACUUACUCAUGCUAUGCCUCUCCCCUCUCUUAGGUACUCUCUGACUGUACCCUUUUAUAACAUUAUACAUAUAAUAAUGGGACCGUUACAUUCAAUAUCAUAACAAAGAUAUUUCUAAUACAUAAGAUCCUCUAACGAAGCAAGUAUCUCUUGUUCUACAUGCUUUCUAAUUAUCUUCCCUUUCUCCUGAAAACCUUAAAAUUAAUAAGCCCACAUGUUUUUGUAUAUAACAUAGGCGGCCAACGCGUAAUUCCAUCUUCCAAAAGCAGAGACUGGGUGCAGUCAUUCACUACCGGUCAUGGCAGAGAAGAACGGCCUGGUGGCCGAUUCGUGUCUCGAAGACCAAUCAUCAACGACUCCAUCUCCGUCUUCUUCCACCCACAGCAAACCCUCAACACCCCACCAUGACGAACUCUACCACUCGCUAUUUCACGAAACUGGAAUGCCAUCACAAAAUCCCAAAAAAGCGAAGAAAUCACCCCAAUCUGAUCAUCCACCUUCAUUACCCACCCUUCCUCACCAAAUCAUCGCGGAAAUUUUCUCUCGAUUACCAGUCAAAGCUCUAAUAAAAUUCAGGUGCGUUUCCAAAACAUUCAAAACCCUGUUUUCAGACCCCCAGUUUAUAAAUGCCCACCUCCGAAAAAUCACAUCUUCAUCAGAGAAAAAACCCAAUCGCUAUCAGAAAAUUGUUUUAACCUAUAGUGGUCCUCCAUCUAGUCGCCACAAAUCUUGCUCCUUAUACUCGAUUUAUAACAAUUUACAAACUGAUGCUAUUGAGAUCGGCCAUUUCUUAUUAAAGGAUAAAUAUCGUUAUGAUUGGCUUGUUGGGUCUUGUGACGGAUUACUAUGUGUGGCUGCCAAGCAGAAUUACGUGGCUUUAUGGAAUCCAUCUACAAGGGUGGCUGAUAGAUUGCCUGGUUUAGGGUUUGGAAAGAAGUUGGGAAGCUAUACUGUUUUUGGGUUUGGUUAUGAUAGUGAAAUAGAUGAUUAUAAGGUGGUGGCUGUGUUCUGCUUUCAAAAUAGGGGUGGUAAUGGAGGUAUUGGAUAUGAAACUAGAGUUGAAGUUUGCACCUUGUGGACCAAAUAUUGGAGGAGGAUUGAGGGUUUCAGAUAUGGUGUUCCUUGUGAUGUCUCAGGGAAGUAUGUCAAUGGCAGUCUUAUUUGGCCAGUGAUGUGUGAAAGAGAUUCUGGAUUAGCGUGGAUUAUUGUUUCCUUUGAUUUAGCAAAGGAGACAUAUAAGGAGAUGGUGCAACCUGAUUAUGGGGAGGUUGGUUGUGAUAGGACAUUGGGGGUUUUAGAUGGAUGCCUUUGUGUGAUGUGUAAUUAUAAGGCUGACCGUGCUGAUUUUUGGUUGAUGAAGGAGUAUGGAGUGAGAGAGUCUUGGACCAAGUUGCUUAGUAUACCAUAUUUGGAUGAUCCUGGGUUGUUGCAGUAUUCAGUGCCAUAUUGCAUUGCAGAUAAUGGUGAAGUUCUGCUGGAAUUUAAAGGCCUCUUAAUCAUUUACAAUCCUAAAGAUGGUGCAUUUAGGCACCCUGUGAUCAAUGGUGCUUGCCAGUGGAUUGAAGCAGAAAUUUACAUCGAGACCCUGGUUUCCCCCAAAGUUGGGAAUUGUAAUUUGGAGACAACAGGAAUGCUUGCGAACACUGAAAAGUAGAUUGGAAACGCUUUUGUGAUGCAUGUUGUUGCUUUUACUGUCUAA